rnacentral:misc_RNA from 1 species
UUUCCGUAGGUGAACCUGCGGAAGGAUCAUUAUCGAAUGAGACACUUUUGGCAUUGUGCUGUCGCGCUGGGCCUCUGGGCAAUGUGCACACGGUCCUGGUCCCUUGUCUCUUCUGCUCUACCCGUGCACUGCAUGUAGACACGCCGUGUCUAAGAUAUUGGUUAGCACACAAAAAUGUUAGUUGGCAUGUUACAUAUAAGAAUCAAAUAUACAACUUUCAGCAACGGAUCUCUUGGCUCUC